rnacentral:rRNA from 1 species
UACAGAGGGGGCAAGCGUUAUUCGGAAUUAUUGGGCGUAAAGAGCGUGUAGGCGGCCAGAUAAGUCCGCUGUGAAAUCUCGAGGCUCAACCCUCGAGACGUCGGCGGAAAACCAUCUGGUUAGAGUCCGGAAGAGGAGAGUGGAAUUCCUGGUGUAGCGGUGAAAUGCGCAGAUAUCAGGGAGAAUAUCCGUGGCGAAGGCGGCUCUCUGGGACGGUACUGACGCUGAGACGCGGAAAGCGUGGGGAGCGAACAGG